AGUGGGGAAUAUUGCACAAUGGAGGAAACUCUGAUGCAGCGACGUCGCGUGAACGAUGAAGGUCUUCGGAUCGUAAAGUUCUGUCCUAGGGGAAGAUAGUGACGGUACCUUAGGAGGAAGCCCCGGCUAACUACGUGCCAGCAGCCGCGGUAACACGUAGGGGGCGAGCGUUGUCCGGAAUUACUGGGUAUAAAGGGUGCGUAGGCGGCCUUGCAAGUCAGAUGUGAAAGAUCAUGGCUUAACUGUGGUAAGCAUUUGAAACUGUAAGGCUUGAGCGCAGGAGAGGAGAGUGGAAUUCCUAGUGUAGCGGUGAAAUGCGUAGAUAUUAGGAAGAAUAUCAGUGGCGAAGGCGGCUCUCUAGACUGCAACUGACGCUGAGGCACGAAAGCGUGGGGAGCAAACAGGAUUAGAUACCCUGGUAGUCCACGCCCUAAACGAUGAACACUAGUCGUCGGAAGGCUUGUCCUUUCGGUGAUGCACUUAACAGAUAAGUGUCCGCCUGGAGUCGCACAUUUG
rnacentral:rRNA from 1 species